GGAGAGGUGUCCGAGUGGUUUAAGGAGCCGGUCUUGAAAACCGGUGAUGCGGGAACGCACCGUGGGUUCGAAUCCCACCCUCUCCG
rnacentral:tRNA from 1 species